rnacentral:rRNA from 1 species
UACAGAGGUCUCAACCGUUGUUCGGAUUCAUUGGGCGUAGAGGGUGCGUAGGCGGUCGCGUAAGUCGGAUGUGAAAUCUCAGGGCUCAACCCUGAAACUGCAUUCGAUACUGCGUGGCUAGGGUACUGGAGAGGAGACUGGAAUUUACGGUGUAGCAGUGAAAUGCGUAGAUAUCGUAAGGAAGACCAGUGGCGAAGGCGAGUCUCUGGACAGUUACCGACGCUGAGGCACGAAGGUCAGGGGAGCAAACGGG